GAUGAAGAACGUAGCAAAAUGCGAUACUUGGUGUGAAUUGCAGAAUCCCGUGAACCAUCGAGUUUUUGAACGCAAGUUGCGCCCGAAGCCUUUUGGCCGAGGGCACGUCUGCCUGGGCGUCACGCAUCGCGUCGCCCCCCACAAUUCUCCGUAAAGGGAACAUGUGUUUUGGGGGCGGAUAUUGGUCUCCCGUGCUCAUGGCGUGGUUGGCCGAAAUAGGAGUCCUUUCGAUGGACGCACGAACUAGUGGAGGUCGUAAAAACCCUCGUCUUUUGUUUCGUGCUGUUGCUCGCAAGGUAAACUCUUUAAAAACCCCAAUGUGUCGUCUCUUGACGACGCUUCGACCGCGACCCCAGGUCAGGCGGGACUACCCGCUGAGUUUAAGCAUAUCAAUAAGCGGAGGA
rnacentral:misc_RNA from 1 species